rnacentral:rRNA from 1 species
AUACGGAGGGGGCUAGCGUUGUUCGGAAUUACUGGGCGUAAAGCGCGCGUAGGCGGGUUGGCAAGUUGAAGGUGAAAUCCCAGGGCUCAACCCUGGAACUGCCUCCAAAACUGCCAGUCUUGAGUUCGGAGGAGGUGAGUGGAAUUCCUAGUGUAGAGGUGAAAUUCGUAGAUAUUAGGAAGAACACCAGUGGCGAAGGCGACUCACUGGUCCGAUACUGACGCUGAGGUGCGAAAGCGUGGGGAGCAAACAGGAUUAGAAACCCCAGUAGUCC